GGUAGGUAUUGGGUAGCUACUCCCCGACUUUAGGGUCAGGGGGAGGAAAGUCCGAACACAUAGUUUCGGCUUCGGUUGAAAUUAAACGUAGUGGGUAACCCCCGCCACCCGCAAGGGUCGAGGUGCGAACAGAGACGAGCUCCUUUAGUGGAGGUGAAACGGCUAAAUCCUUACGCGUGUGCAAGAUCGCACCCAGCCCCACUUUCAACGAAAGUGGGGCUGGGAGAAUCGCUUGAGUCUGAGAGUAAUUUCAGACCUAGAUAAAUUGCUAUCGCUUCUGGUCGGUUUGCCGACUGGCAGAACAAAAUUCGGCUUAUAGAUACCUACAACAA
rnacentral:RNase_P_RNA from 2 species